rnacentral:ncRNA from 1 species
UACUUUUGCACCCGUCUUACAAUAGCUGUAUGACAUACAUAAAAAUCAUUUAAAUAAUAUUAGCAUG